UCCCUGACAGUCCAGUGGUUAGAACUCUGCACUUCUACUGCAGGGGGCCUGGGUUCAAUUCCUGGUUAGGGAA